rnacentral:lncRNA from 1 species
AACACUGAAUCUUUUGGUGCUUUCUUGAAACCCUCUGGCAAAGCCUGCAUUUAAAAAAAAAUCCUAAUUUAGCUGUAUAUUUUUGAAUUAUUGUUGCUAGAGAGAGUCACAAGCCAAACCCUGGAUCAGAGCAUGCCAGACUCUGUGCAUGUUUAGAUAAGAUAAGGAGAACAUAGCCACCACUAUCCAAUUUCAUUGGUCAAGUCUUUCUUUAUCUUAUACUCUGCAUGGUGCUGUUUUGGCAAUGCUAUUUUUUGUGAUUUUUUUUUUUGGUCUGUAAUAUACUUCAGCUCCAUUGACUUAUAUAUUAAUGUAUAUAUCAGAUGUCAUCCUGUAUAUGCGACAUCACUCAUGGUACUGAAUAGACACCCACCAUCACUGUCCUGUAGAAAAAGUGCCAAAUCUUGGCCGUGGCUGAUAUGGUGGUAAAGGGCAUGCAAGUUCUAUGGCCUGGCGUAUCAACUCAGCAAUGGGCUGAACAAUUUUGAGUAUGGUAGCAAGUGGAGAGGAGAAGACCACCCUGAGCUUGCAGGGCAGUGCAAAGGUACAUGAGGAGCCAGGGAAUUUAUGCUCCCUGACCCAGCUAUUUGCCUCGGAGAGACCCAUUCCUGAUUGUCUCUCUUCCCUGCUGGGGUUGUAGAGGGGUAAUGUGGUAUUACCGUAAUUAGCUAUGUAAUAAAUCUUUCCACAGUCCUACCAGCUUGCAGAGAAACUGCCUUUCAACAUGGCUGAAGGGUUUGUAAGAAACUGUACUUAUGUCUGCAUCCUUCUAGAAUGUUUCUGAAUACAGGAAAUUGAACAACUUUUAAUUCUUCUCCUAAGGGGAAAACAGGAUGGCAUACAGAAGAGUCAUUGCAAAUCUGAGCUUCCAGUUGCUGCCAAUAAGUACUUUUUCUGCUGUAAUAGAGCUACUUUGGAACUGUUUCAAAGAACAAACCUUCAUCUCUGCUGUUUCCAGGUAUCCUAAUAGCAGCAAAGAGCCUUACCCUGAAGACAUUCAAGAAACACACAACUACACUCUGGGGUAAAAGAGUAUUAUUUAAAAAUAUAGAGAUUUAAGAAGCCAUGGUUUUUA